rnacentral:rRNA from 1 species
UACGCAGGCGGAAAAUUAAGUCAGUGGUGAAAUCCUGCAGCUUAACUGUAGAACUGUCAUUGAUACUGGUUUUCUUGAAUAUAGUUGAGGUAGGCGGAAUGUGUAAUGUAGCGGUGAAAUGCUUAGAUAUUACACAGAACACCGAUUGCGAAGGCAGCUUACUAAGCUAUGAUUGACGCUGAGGUACAAAAGCGUGGGGAGCGAACAGGAUUAGAUACCCUGGUAGUCC